rnacentral:misc_RNA from 1 species
ACACACACACACACACACAACAUUGAGCUGGGGAAUGGGUGUUGUUUGUAUGCAGACCUUUGAAAAAGCUCAUAAGCUGGAGAACAGUUAGCAGUGUAGGAGUACCGCCCAUUUUCUCUCCGUUUUUGGUUUCAACGCCGCAGAAAAAGGAAUACUUUGGCAAGUUUGGGCUUUUAAAUCUUUGCUUCCCUUGAGCAGGAUUUGUUAAUUGAGGAUAAGCAAUCGCUUUGGGAAAAGGAAUCAUCUGUUUCAUCUAGUUGAUCAAUAAUCACUUCAGAAUGGCUUUAGAAGGCUGCGCAAGGAUCGUCAAGAUCCUUAUGUUUAUCUUCAACUUCAUCUUCUUUGUCGCUGGUAUCGUUGUGCUCGCUGUUGGUAUCUAUGUCAAUGUCGUUGACGGAGACUUCGCUCAGAUCCUCCCCAGCUUACCGUACCUCAGCGCAGGCAAUCUCCUGAUCGCAUGCGGUGUCAUCGUCCUCGUCGUUGGUUUCCUCGGAUGCUGCGGUGCCAUCAAGGAAAGCCCAUGCAUGCUCCUCAUCUUCUUCUUCUUGCUCCUACUCAUCCUCAUCCUUGAAAUCGCUGCUGGUGCCCUUGCCUUCACAUACAGGAACAAGGUCGAAGAGUUUGUCAUCAAGGAUCUUACCACUGGACUCUCACAAUACAACAAGUCUCAGUCACUUACCAAGGCAUGGGAUAUCCUUCAGUCAGAUCUGCAAUGUUGCGGUGUGAACACAUCCGAUGACUGGCAAAGUCCCAACAUCACGCUGGCAGGACCAUUUCCAGACUCGUGUUGUAAGGAUGGGUUUGAGAAGGACUGUGCAAUAAGAGCUGGUGCUGUGCCAUGGGAUGUGGGCUGCCAAGGAAAACUCACGAUGAAGCUCCGCGAUAACAUCUACAUUGUUGGUGCCAUUGGAAUUGCAUUCGGUCUUAUUCAGAUAUUUGGAAUGGUCUUUUCGCUGCUCCUGUACAUUCAGCUCAGAGGGGAAUGAGUAGAUUUAUCUUGAGUGCUUACCCUAAUGGCAGUGCCAACCCAGCAAAAAAAAUUAGUCUGUGUCCUCGGUCUGGUGUUCUCCAUGUGCCUCUACUGCUCCAUAAGAGACGGAACUAAGGCAUAAGAUGGGGUACCGGUCUUUAGUAUAUUUAAAUGGUUACAUCAAUUAUGCAUGAUUUGUAAUUAACUUAAUCAAUUCAGUGUCACACAAUAUUGUAAGGGACAGAGGGGUAUUUGUUACAAUUUUCCAGGAGUGGUUCCAAUAUUUUCUCAAGAUAUAGUAUUUAAGUUAUUGAAAGCUGGGUGAUUUUCUUUUUAAUUGUGUACAUGUUGAUUAUGAUUUUCGAGUAAUGUUGAACUUUGUUGCUGUGAUUUUGACGAUUUGAAUGCGAUGAAUGUCAUAUGCCAGGCAUGCUACUGCCAUAAGGUGAUCAUGUGAUCACCAUGGGGUGAUCAUGUGAUUGCCAUUGGGGAUCAUGUGAUCGCCAUGGGGUGAACAUGUGAUUGCCAUGGGGUGAUCAUGUGAUCGCCAUGGAGGGAUCAUGUGAUCACCAUGUGGUGACCAUGUGAUCUUUGAAAGUCAUGUCAAGGGCAUACCAGUAGCAUUCCAUUGUAUACAUUCACCAUUGUGACAUUUCACCUGUGACGUUUCACCUUUGACCUAAAGUUACCUUAACUAGGAUAUAGUGAACUCUUGAAAAACUGCCUUUUCUAAAAUGUCAACUUCAUCUUCUUCCUUCGAUUUAUUCUUCUACCAACAAUCUAUUUUUCAUACUGAACUUUUCGUCUUCCUUCCAGAAGCAAACACUUCUUUUUUUUACCUCACAUCAUUGUUGGGUCGAACAAAAUGCAAUAUUAUUCUUAGAUUUUAAUUCUUGAAUUGAUAUCGAAAACAAUUUAUCCUUUUAUAUAAAAAAAAAUUGUCACUAUUUUUCUUACCGCGAUUUGGGCAGUCUAAUAAAAUGAUUAUACUAUGUUAACAAAACUCUGAAGAGAGAUAAACAAAAGUGACACAAUUUAUUUUGUAUUUGGCCAAAAAAUAUUUUCAUAAGAGAAGAUAAUUUUAUUAGGGAUGAAAUUUGUUAUAUGGGGAUGUAUGUGAAGCUACUUCGCUUUUUUUUCAGAAUUGUACUUAACAACCGGCUUGAAAUAUUCACCAAUAUUUCCAGUUAAUGCAAAAUUACUUUUUCAGAGUUUUCCAACUCUUCUUCCUAUAUUGAAUAGAUUCACAACGACUCACCCUAUUUUUAGUCUGAAAACGCAAUGAAACGAGGCUGAUGUUUCAAAAUACAUUCAGGGAUUGGACUAAAACUUGCCUUUUGGUAGUUUCUUGUAGACGGGUUAGAGAAUUAGACUCUUUCAACAUUUAAAAGCUGACUACCGUACACAGAUUUUUAAGAGGCUGUAUUUUUUGUAUAAAUUUUAUUGACUAUGCUGAAUGUAUCCUUGUGGUGGAGGUAGAGUUUAGUCGUCUUUUAUGUAUAGUUGCCAAUUUGAGGAUUACACCAUGUUUUAGUACAAUGAUCAGUGUAGAAAAUUGUAACAAUGUUAUUCUAUACGGACUUGUUCAUAUAUGAUUGAUUCAUGCUAAUGACGGUAAUAGUGGAAAAAGUAAAACUUUUCCUGAGAUUUUUUUUACUAGAGGUAUGAAAAUCAUGCAAUUUUUUGUGGAAUGACUUCGAUUUCAGUCUUUCUCCUGGGUAAUUUUUACACUUUUUCACAGCUUUUUAAUUUUUCAUGAAUGUUUGAUACAAGAGCAUUGGUUUUCAUGAUUAUGUAUGUAGUGACACAGGAUAGCAUACAAGUUAUGUAAUUAUGUAGAACAUACUCUUUUGCAUGGUUAUCUUGCUAGUUUUAAUAUGUCUGUUUUUAGGGAGAUAUGGUGUUUUAUGAAAUUUAUUUCUUCUUUCUGUAUUAAAAUUCA